AUGUUGGGCGCUGGAUUGCAGCAUGGACAAAGUAGUGGUGGAGAGGAUAGGUUUUACAUGCCGGCGAAAGCGAGAAGGAUUCGUCAGCAUCAAGAGAACCUCCGUAGAGCUCAAAGUAACAUUACUCCGACCCAAUCUACGACAUCUUCUGUCAGGGAGGAGCCGGAGAAUCAACUCAUGCAGCCAUCAAAUCCUGAGCCGUUGGAAUCCUCAGUGGUGGCGGUGCCGGCAACAUCAUCGUUGUGUAAUCUUGAACGGUUUUUGGAAACUGUUACGCCUUCUGUUCCUGGUCAACAUCUCUCCAAGAGAACUAUGAGAGGAUGGAGGACAAGUGAUGUGGAAUAUCAACCAUACUUUGUUCUUGGUGAUUUGUGGGAAUCUUUCAAGGAGUGGAGUGCUUAUGGUGCUGGAGUUCCUUUAAUAUUGAAUGAAGCUAAUUGUGUGAUCCAAUAUUAUGUGCCUUAUUUAUCUGGAAUUCAAAUAUAUGUAGACCCUUUGAAGUCUUCAAUAAAUUCCAGGCAACUAACUGAGGAUAUUGAUGAUAACUCAUUUACGGAUUCAAGUAGUGAUGGGAGCAGUGAUUAUGAACAGGAAAAGGGUUCUUUACAUUAUCUAAGGGAGAAGAGUAAUAAUCAUCACCCAAAGAAUGACAUUCUUCACCGAAUGGAUCAUUUGUCAAUGAAUGAUGAGAACAAUGUAGUUCAAGAAGACUUUUCUAGUGAUGAUAGUGAUUCUGCCACCACUCAAAGUUGCUUGAUAUUUGAGUACAUGGAACAUAUUCAGCCUUUGGGCAGAGAACCUUUGUGUGAUAAGAUACUUGAUCUUGCACAACGCUUCCCUGAAUUGAAAAGUCUAAGAAGUUGUGACUUUGCUGCCAUCUAGUUGGCUUUCUGUCGCUUGGUACCCAAUAUACAGAAUUCCCAUGGGGCCCACCUUGAAAGAUCUUGAUGCUUGUUUUCUAACUUUUCAUUCCCUUCACACUCCUACUACAGGCAAUGAAUGUGAGCAUCCACCUGUUGUAACGCAUUUCAGUGGGACAGGUGUGGUCUCAUUACCAGCAUUUGGUCUUGCUUCAUACAAAUUCAAGGCACCACUGUGGGUCCCCAAUGAAUUGAAAAGACUAGAAUGCCCUGAUGGACUAUUCACUAUUCUAUAUGUGUUUGUUACUUACAUAGAAGUACUAGUGUUGAAAAGACUAGAAUGCCCUUAUCAUGUGAUGUGUCAAUAAACUGAUGGAUUACACAGAAGUAGGUCUCCUCCACGUAGGAGUAGGUCACCUUCUAGAAGCAGAAGCCCUGAAGGAGGAGGAAAUGAGAAAGCAUCAACAUCAUCACCCUAUUCCCAUGGUAGAGCUGAUUCCA